UUGAACGCUGGCGGCAGGCCUAACACAUGCAAGUCGAGCGGUAGAGAGGUGCUUGCACCUCUUGAGAGCGGCGGACGGGUGAGUAAAGCCUAGGAAUCUGCCUGGUAGUGGGGGAUAACGCUCGGAAACGGACGCUAAUACCGCAUACGUCCUACGGGAGAAAGCAGGGGACCUUCGGGCCUUGCGCUAUCAAAUGAGCCUAGGUCGGAUUAGCUAGUUGGUGAGGUAAUGGCUCACCAAGGCGACAAUCCGUAACUGGUCUGAAAGGAUGAUCAGUCACACUGGAACUGAAACACGGUCCAAACUCCUACGGGAGGCAGCAGUGGGGAAUAUUGGACAAUGGGCGAAAGCCUGAUCCAGCCAUGCCGCGUGUGUGAAAAAGGUCUUCGGAUUGUAAAGCACUUUAAGUUGGGAGGAAGGGCAUUAACCUAAUACGUUAGUGUUUUGACGUUACCGACAGAAUAAGCACCGGCUAACUCUGUGCCA
rnacentral:rRNA from 1 species